CCUGGUGGCUAUGGCGAGGGGCAAACACCCGAUCCCAUCCCGAACUCGGCCGUGAAAACCCUCAGCGCCAAUGGUACUGCGUCUCAAGGCGCGGGAGAGUCGGUCGCUGCCAGGU
rnacentral:rRNA from 1 species